CACAGGGGGACCUGGCUCUGCGAAUGGCCAACAGUAAUGGGCAUCUCCACCUGUAGGGGACAUCGCUCGGGUAAAAGGCCGUUCAGCUUCAGGCCUCGCUGCCCUGCACCUGCCCAGAGAGCUGACUGGACUUGGAUUCACGUUUGGUCCGACAACCCAGGGCUCCCUCCUACUAAGCAACGGGUUACCUCUAAGACGUAUUUUUGCUUUUUCACAGACUCUCCCCUCCACUCACGGCGCACGGUCAAAGCCCCAGCACGUCCUGUGCCAGCAGUCGGCCCCGCCUACCUCAGGGGUCAGCUCAGUAGUCUACGGGCACAUUUUCAGGUGUCCCGCCCCACAAGCCCCACCCCGACUGGCCAAGGGCAAGGGCGUCUCCGAGGAGGCUCACUGGCACGAGACGCGGGUCUGCACCACCCGCCCCAGACGUAAGAUCCGGGUCACUUUCGGGGGGCCGACGUGGGCUGCUCGCCGUGAACCCCACGUCGCACCUCUGGACAGGCUGCAAGCAAACCGAGUGUCAGCGAGGCCUCUCUGGGGGGUCUCCCGCUCCUCCUCCCUCUGCACCCCGGGGAUCAGCUCUGCUAGGGGUUCCUCACCCCUUGGGCACAGUCUCUGUUGGGGUUCCCAGCCCUCGCCGCCCGAUGCCGGACGGGAGCUGCCGAGGGAAGCUCUGCUGUGCCCACUGGAGAGGCCCACCCCUCUACCAGAGUUAGGGUCCCCGAGACGGAAGACCUGGGAUCCAGCCACGCAUCGGUGACCUAUUUAUCAGCAUUCCACCCGGGACUGUCUGGGAACCACCCCGAACCUCCACUCCCUCCUGAAAUAACUAGAACGGUCCUGCCCCUGCCCACUUCACAGGCUGUGAGGACGACGUGAGCAAACGCACGGCGGGGUGCCUGGAAAACACAGCCAGUGAGGAGAGGAGGGCAGAGGACGCGUCAGCUACCGUCCCGAGCCCUCACUUACGCCCGCUCGCCCACCCGCACGAGCACCACGCCAGCCAGGCAUCAGGAGCACCCCCGCUUUACAGACAGGGAGCUGAGACGCAGAGAGGACGUGUUCUCUCUGACAGUAACAACACGAGGAAGGAAACAAAUCGACACCGAGAGGCCUCACGCCGAGGAGGAAACAGGUACUUGUUAAAUGGCUGCCAGACCGGGCCAGCCAGGCGGUGGGCUAAGGCCGCGCCCCCAGGCGAGCCCGUCACCCGGAAGCUGGCUCCGUGCAUCCAAAGAAACGGCCACCAAAGUGAUUCGUGACAAAGCGACGCCCGACGCCUCUCACCAGCCAAGUCUGUUCUGAGCAAGGCCCCAAGCAGGGCUGCCCGCGGGCCCAGCAGCAGCCGCAGGAGAGCCAGACUGUCGGAGUCCCUGGUCCUAAGGUACAGCCGUAAACGUCUCAGAAGCAUGCUCGCUGGUCCCGAUUAUUUACUUUUCAAAGGAAGUUCUGAUUUCAUGUUCGGUUCCUGAUGUUCGUGAUGACGCUCUCUGUCGGGCUAAUCCGAUUUCCAUGCGGAGGGAGCAUCGGAGACCGGGAGAGACGUGUGGGAGCGAGCCGGGGGCCCCGCGGGAGGUGUCGAGGCCCCGGUGACCUCCCACCGGCCCCCUGCCUCCGCCUCUGCGCUCCACGUUUGCGGAGUCUGCCUUCCGGGCUCGCGCUCGUCCGCUCCGCCCUUGGUUUCGAGGGCGCUACUGGGGACGGUUUCGCCGGCCCUUGACGGGACGCCCUGGCUCCUUCCCGCGGCUGGGCCCGCGAGCGCACGCGUGGCAGGGAACCAAAAGCCCUCGGGGAAGGGCCCCGGCACAAGCUCCCCGUCUGUGAACCCCUGUUCGAGGCCAAAGGAACUCCUCAGGUUUCCGACACACAUCUUCCCAGCGUGAGCAGUUUCACACAGACUUGGGAACAUCCUUGCCUCUCUCUACUUUGUGCCUUAGCCAGUGACAACCCUUCCUUCCUUCCUGAAUGUGCUAAGGAGGCGGGAGAGAACCACGACAGCUGGCUUUCUUGUCAAAAUCCACAAAGUCGAGGCUUCUCGACGGGGUCCAAAUCCACUUCUGAAACAGGGGCUCGCCUGGUGUGAACAGACCUGCCCAGAACACGCCGUCCUCCCAUGCUCAGUGAGGCCCGGGGACAGGCUCGGCGGGCACGGGUGGGGAGGGGGCUCCUGGCACCUGACCGGUAGAUGCCAGGGAAGCUGCCGAGCACGGCCCCACUGUCCUCACACGUGUGGGGACACCUACGGCCACAAAGACGGACUAUCCGGCCCUGAGGUGAGCACUGCCAGUUUGGGAAACGCGGCUUUCAGGGAAAGAACGAAGGUCUGAUUCCAACGAGGGCCUCCAGAUUCUAAUCCAGUAAGACAGAAACAAGCACGGUGCAGAGAAAUGCACACAGUGUAUGGCCAGUCUUACCUAACGUGUGAGUACACACGUGUUCACAGACACGCCCGUCAUGAGAACGUUCGUGCGGCUGCUACAGACGGAAGGACGCAGGGUGAAGAGGCAGGAAGAGAAACCAGAUUUUUUUUUAAAUGUUUUAUUAUUCAUCUUCGAGAAAGAGACAGAGACACAGACAGAACCCCAAGCAGGCCCCAGGCUCCAGGCUCCAAGCUGUCAGCACAGAGCGGGGCUCGAACUCAUGAACGAGAUCAUGACCUGAGCUGAAGUUGGACACUUAACCGACUGAGCCCCCCAGGCACCCCUAAAAGCCAGACUUCUCGUUUUGUGUACGUGAUCUGGGAUCCACUAAAUAUUUUACGUAACUGUAAAGCAGAAUUAAACUUUUUAAAAAGCAUUUCUUAAACAUCUUAAGUAAAAGGACACCAACGAACACAACUGUGCACCUGGCUGGCUGUACUGCUGGACGGGGAGGAACGCAUCCACGUGACUUUAAAACAGGGUGACCUGGGGCACCUGGGUGGCUCGGUCGGUUGAAUAUCUGGCCCCUAAUUUGGGUUAGGGUCGUGAUCUCAGUAUCGUGGGAUGGAGCCCCACUUUGGGCUUCAUGCUCAGCGUGGAGCCUGCUUGGGUGUCUCUCUCUCUCUCUCUCUCUCUCUCUCUCUCUCUCUCUCUCUCUCAAAUUUAUAAAAUAAAGAAAAAACAAAAAGAAAAACAGGGUAACCUCACUCUCUAUCUGUGGCCUGGUGCCAGAGAGAACCGCAAAUGCCUGGUGAACAGUUUUUGGUAAAAGAACACUGGUGCUAUGUUGGUUGUUGCUUUCUGAACGUGCUGAUGUGAUGUGGCACGCAAGAAAUGAGUGAUUGUGUUGGUGCCCAUGAAAAAUCUCAAUGGUCGGUGUGGGAGAAGGCAGAUAUGUGGGAUUAAAUAAAAACCUUGCAGUCCCGAAACUUAAUCAGUAAGCACUCAUAAUACAUUCUACCUUCAUUUACUUAUUUAUUUUUUUGAGACAGGGAAAGUGCUCAUGCCUGUGUGAGCAGCCAAGGGGCAGAAGGAGAGAGAAUCCCAAGCAGGCUCCACACUGGCAGCACAGAGCCCAACGCGGGGCUCAGUCUCAAGACCCUGGGAUCGUGACCUGAGCCAAAAUCAAGAGUCGAACACUCACCUGACUGAGCCACCUGGGUGUCUGUCCCUUAUAACGCAUUCUACCAUUAAAACAGAGAGGCAGCGGGGAGAGAAAAGUCUGAGUGUGGGCAAUGGGCACCCCCGGGACCCAGAUUAAGCUCUCUAAAUCCCAUUCCCACUCAGCUGACUGAAGACCUGGGCAGAAAACGUACAAAAUGAGAACGGAGCAUCCUGCCUGGUCACACCAGCUAGGAAAGAAGUGAUCACAAGCUACCAGACCCAUAUCAGACAGACUCGGGAGCCAAAUCACAGAGCCCCCCGCCCCCCGCCCCCACCGGCCAAAGAGGAAACAAGGCCAAGGAGGAAACAACGUGCACGCCAACGUUUCACAAGUGUAACAGUUAUGCUUGUACUGCACGCUGACUGGGACAAACACACACCCUGCAGGUUACCUUAGGAGACGCCCAGUCAUUAUUCUGAAAUCUGCUAAACAAAGGAAAAUAAGUAUCGGUACUGGCUUUCCUACAUGAACUCUACCUUGAGAUACCCAAAUAAUCGGUAUGAACAUCAAUGUCUGCUAACCUCACUGAGAGAACACAACCAGUCAUCACACACAUCCUAGGGGAAGUACCCACCACCGCCUAUGAAACGCCAUGACCCCCGAGCACCCCUCCGAUUCGACCGAAUCUGUCGAAGCCUCCAGACUGACCUAUCACGUAGAGGACAGUCAAGGGCAGGUGAGUGUGGCUUACCUAGAGCCAGGCGGGGAGAAGCAACGCGCAAAGUCCAGACAGCAAGGACCUCUACAGGAGCACAUGGCCCGAUGUCUUCAACCAAUAAAUGGCAGGAAGAGACAGACACACAGAGCAGGAUGGGGGCAGGGUUCUGACUUGCAGAGAUUCUAUGGAUUAAGAGGGCACAUCAACCAACCACAAUGUAUUCACCUUACUUGAACCCUGAUUCGAAUAAAUUCCACG